AUUGAACGCUGGCGGCAUGCCUUACACAUGCAAGUCGAACGGUAGCAGGUCUUCGGAUGCUGACGAGUGGCGAACGGGUGAGUAAUACAUCGGAACGUGCCCGAUCGUGGGGGAUAACUACUCGAAAGAGUAGCUAAAACCGCAUACGAUCUACGGAUGAAAGCGGGGGAUCUUCGGACCUCGUGCGGCCGGAGCGGCCGAUGGCAGAGUAGGUAAUUGGUGGGAUAAAAGCGUACCAAGCCGACGAUCUGUAGCUGGUCUGAGAGGACGACCAGCCACACUGGGACUGAGACACGGCCCAGACUCCUACGGGAGGCAGCAGUGGAGAAUUUUGGACAAUGGGCGAAAGCCUGAUCCAGCAAUGCCGCGUGCAGGAUGAAGGCCUUCGGGUUGUAAACUGCUUUUGUACGGAACGAAAAGACUCCUUCUAAUACAGGGGGUCCAUGACGGUACCGUAAGAAUAAGCACCGGCUAACUACGUGCCAGCCGCCGCUGUAAAAC
rnacentral:rRNA from 1 species